UGCUGCACCAACAUUGACAACUGCUGCACAAACGACAACUGCUGCACCAACAACGACAACUGCUGCACUAACAACAACUGCUGCACCAACAAGGACAACCGUGGGUCCAACAACCACAACAGCAGCUCCAAGUACCACAACUCCAGUUCCAACUACAACAACAGCACCUCCACCAACCACAACUGCAGCUCCAACAACAACAGGCCUGGGUCCACCAACCACCACAGCAGCUCCAACAACCACAACAGCGGCUCCAACAACCACAACAGCACUUCCAACAACCACCACAGCAGCUCCAACAACCACAACAGCUGCUCCAACAACCACAACAGCUGCUCCAACAACCACAACAGCAGCUCCAACAACUUCAACAGUGGCACCAACAACCAUAACAGCGGCUCCAACAACCACAACCACGGCACCAACACUGACAACUGCUGGACCAACGACAACUGCUGCACAAACGACAACUGCUGCACCAACAACGACAAUUGCUGCAUCAACAACUGCAUCACCAACGACAAUAACAGCUGCACCAACAUUGACAUCUGUUGCACCAACGUCAACUGCUGCACAAAUGACAACUGCUGCACCAACAACGACAACUGCUGCACCAACGACAAUUGCUGCAUCAACAACGACAACUGCAGCACCAACGACAAUAACUGCUAAACCAACAACAACUGCUGCACCAACAACUGCUUCACUAACAACGACAACUGUUGCACCUACAACAACUGCUGUACCAACAACGACAAUUCCUGCACCAGCAACGAUAAUUGCUGCAUCAACAACAAUAACUGCUGCACCAACAUUGACAACUGUUGCACCAACGACAACUGCUGCACAAACGACAACUGCUGCACCAACAACGACAACUGCUGCAAAAACGACAACUGCUGCACAAACGACAACUGCUGUACCAACAACGACAAAUGCUGCACAAACAACAACUGCUGCACAAACGACAACUGCUGCACCAACAACGACAACUGCUGCACCAACAGCGACAAUAACUGCUGCACCAACAUUGACAACUGUCGCACCAAUAACGACAACUGCUGUACCAACACCAACCACUGCUACACCAAUGACAACUGCUGCACCAACAACUGCUUCACUAACAACGACAACUGCUGCACCAACUACAACAACUGCUGCACCAACAACGACAACUGCUGCAGGAACAACAACAACAACUACUGCACUAACAACAACAACUACUGCAUCAACCACAACUGCUGCACCUACAACGACAACUGUUGCACCUACAACAACAACUGCUGCAUCAACAACGACAACUGCAGCACCAACGACAAUAACUGCUGCACCAACAUUGACAACUGUUGCACCAACGACAUCUGCUGCACAAACGACAACUGCAGCUCCAACAACAACAGGCCUGGGUCCACCAACCACAACAGCAGCUCCAACAACCACAACAGUGGCUCCAACAACCACAGGCCCGGAUCAACCAACCACAACAGCAGCUCCAACAACCACAACAGCUGCUCCAACAACCACAACAGCAGUUCCAACUACCACAACAGUUCCAACUACCACAACAGCAGCUCCAACAACUUCAACAGUGGCACCAACAACCAUAACAGCGGCUCCAACAACCAUAACAGCGGCAACAACACCGACAACUACUGGAUCACCGACAACUGCUGCACAAACGAUAACUGCUGCACCAACCAUGACAGCUGCUGCACCAACGACAACUGCUGCACAAACGACAACUGCUGCACCAACAAUUGCUGCAUCAACAAUGACAACUGCAGCAUCAACGACAAUAACUGCUGCACCAACAUUGACAACUGCUGCACAAACGACAACUGCUGCACCAACAACGACAACUGCUGCACUAACGACAACUGCUGCACCAACAACGACAACCGUGGCACCAACAACAACAACUGCUGCACCAACGACAACUGCUGCACCAACAACAACAACUUCUGCACCAACAACAACUACUGCACAAACAACAACUACUGCAUCAACCACAACUGCUGCACCUACAACAACAACUUUUUCACCUACAACAACAACUGCUGUACCAACAACGACAAUUGCUGCACCAACAACGGCAACUGCUGCACCAACGACAACAACUUCUGCACAAACAACGACAACUGCUGCACCAACGACAACAGCUGCUGCACCAACGACAACAACUGCUGCACCAACAACGAAAACUGCUGCACCAACAACGAAAACUGCUGCACCAACAACAACUACUGCACCAACAACAACAACCGCGGCUCAAACAACUACAAUAGCGGCUCCAAAAACCACAACAGCAGCUUCAACAACCAUAACAUUGGUUCCAACAACCACAACAGCGGCUCCAAAAACCACAGCUGCAGCUCUAAAAACCACAACAUUAGUUCCGACAACCACAACCCCGGGUCCAACAAACACAACCCCAGUUCCAACAACAAAAACAACAGCUCCAACAACCACAACCCUGGCUCCAACAACCACAACCCCGGCUCCAACAACCACUGUGACGAUAAUUCCUCCCGUCUUUUCAACCAUGGCGUAUUUACAAGUCAAGAUGAUUACCUUUGGUGAACUCAGCAACGACACCAUUUCGGGACUUCUUCAAGAGUUCUUCAGAAAUCAGCUCCCGACUGGAACAGCUCAUCUGCUCUCAGUGAAAAGAAUCCAAAGAAUUGCAAUUUAUUAAUAUUAGUUUGGGGUAUUGUGUUUAUAAAUGCACUUAACUUGUGGUUAAAAAAUAUCGAGAAACAUAUUGCUUACACAUUUACAUCAAAAAUGUAUUCCACGGAAACACACAACUGUAUAUAACAAUUGAAAUAUUCAGAAUUGAAACGUAAAUCCAAGCAUUUAUCAAAUAGUCAAAUAGUAUCGUCAAAAGACAAAUCAAUGGUCUUGUGAAAUCCUAAUUUCCUAAUAUUUUCUCAGUAAAUCAGUAACUAACUUUAUUAUUGUGAAUGUUUUUUAAUCAAUCUUUCAAAACAUGAUGCUGAUUUUCUUUCGGUUGUCUUUUAUUCUGUUUACAGAUCCAUGUUUUCACAUGACUUGGAUACAGUAAUAUUACUAUAAUUUGUAUUAAAUAAAGUGUUGACCAUCCGGACAUUUAAAUGAUCAUAAAUGCUUUGUCUACCAUAAAAGGUAAAUCACUCAGAGCAACCUUAAUUUAUGGUGUGUACAUUAUAUGCUAUUUUUGGCCAUCAAAGAUCCUCAUGAAACUGUACUGAAUUUAUUGUCUACGAUAAAGCCUUGCUAUUGGUGAA
ensembl:lncRNA